UUCCGCGCAGCCGCGGACAAUGGGAGGUGUUCUUUCGCCAUGGUGGCCGGGUGGUGAAGGAGCCUGUGGGCCCGGUGCCGGGUUCUUCGAGGUACAACAUCCAGUGGCAUGAAGAUGUAUGAAAGUGGUUGGAACAAAUGCUCUUAAAAACUUGUCAUAGAAGAUGACUGAAGAAAAUGAGUAGGACCACAUUUGACAUGUAACACGGUACCAUAGCAGCUAUCAAUGAAUGCUCCAGUCCUUUUGAUGUAGUGUUUAAAAAUACAUCCUUGCCUCAAAGGUGUGGCAUGCAACAUUGUGAAAGGAAAAAAAAAAAGAAUUUAUGAAGAAAAAAAUAGAAACAAACUAUGAAAUUUUUAUUUGAUAUUAAUAAACAAUAAGUUAUGUGGUAAAA